AAAAAGGUACUCAAGGGCACAAAACGGAUGCCUUGACAUAUACUACCGAAGAAGGACGUGAAAGACUGCGAAAAGUCUCGGGGAGUCGUCAAUAGACUUUGAUCCGAGAAUAUCCGAAUGGGGAAACCCGCCGCGGGUCAUGCCGUGUGCAUCGUGCGCUGAAUACAUAGGCGUAUUGAAAGGUAACCAUCUGAACUGAAACAUCUUAGUAGGAUGAGGAAAAGAGAAUAAAUAAUGAUUCUGGGAGUAGUGGCGAGCGAAACUGGAACAGCCUAAACCUUUUAAGUUCUAUCGCAAGAUAGUAAGGGUGAUAGCCCAAUACUUAGAGGGAGUUGCGAGUCAACAUAAUUUUGGGAUUAAGGACUUCUACAUGGAGUUUUUAAUCUUAAAACCGACAACUAUCAUUGAGCGGAUAAGGUAAGAAAUCGGCGUGGUUAGCAGAAUAUUUUGGAAAGAAUAGCCAAAGACUGUGAUAGCCAGGUAUGCGAAAACGACGCUGACCUUAUAUAUGUUUUCACAAGUAAAACGGGGCACGAGAAACCCUGUUCGAAUCCGGCUGGACCACCAGCCAAGACUAAAUAUGGUAAAUGAUCGAUAGCGAACUAGUACAGUGAUGGAAAGGUGAAAAGAAC
rnacentral:rRNA from 1 species